rnacentral:rRNA from 1 species
UACGUAGGGUGCAAGCGUUGUCCGGAAUUAUUGGGCGUAAAGAGCUCGUAGGCGGUUUGUCGCGUCUGCUGUGAAAAUCCAGGGCUUAACCCUGGACCUGCAGUGGGUACGGGCAGACUGGAGUGCGGUAGGGGAGAUCGGAAUUCCUGGUGUAGCGGUGAAAUGCGUAGAUAUUGGGAGGAACACCAGUGGCGAAGGCGGCUCACUGGACCGGAACUGACGCUGAGGCGCGAAAGCGUGGGAGCAAACGGG